rnacentral:rRNA from 1 species
GCUGGCGGCGUGCCUAAUACAUGCAAGUCGAGCGAGCUGAAUUCAAAGAUUCCUUCGGGAUGAUUUGUUGGACGCUAGCGGCGGAUGGGUGAGUAACACGUGGGCAAUCUGCCCUAAAGACUGGGAUACCACUUGGAAACAGGUGCUAAUACCGGAUAACAACAUGAAUCGCAUGAUUCAAGUUUGAAAGGCGGCGUAAGCUGUCACUUUAGGAUGAGCCCGCGGCGCAUUAGCUAGUUGGUGGGGUAAAGGCCUACCAAGGCAAUGAUGCGUAGCCGAGUUGAGAGACUGAUCGGCCACAUUGGGACUGAGACACGGCCCAAACUCCUACGGGAGGCAGCAGUAGGGAAUCUUCCACAAUGGACGCAAGUCUGAUGGAGCAACGCCGCGUGAGUGAAGAAGGUUUUCGGAUCGUAAAGCUCUGUUGUUGGUGAAGAAGGAUAGAGGCAGUAACUGGUCUUUAUUUGACGGUAAUCAACCAGAAAGUCACGGCUAACUACGUGCCAGCAGCCGCGGUAAUACGUAGGUGGCAAGCGUUGUCCGGAUUUAUUGGGCGUAAAGCGAGCGCAGGCGGAAUGAUAAGUCUGAUGUGAAAGCCCACGGCUCAACCGUGGAACUGCAUCGGAAACUGUCAUUCUUGG